GACGAACGCUGGCGGCGUGCUUAACACAUGCAAGUCGAACGGAAAGGCCCUGCUUUUGUGGGGUGCUCGAGUUGCGAACGGGUGAGUAACACGUGAGUAACCUGUCCUUGACUUUGGGAUAACUUCAGGAAACUGGGGCUAAUACCGGAUAGGAGCUCCUGCUUCAUGGUGGGGGUUGGAAAGUUUCGGCGGUUGGGGAUGGACUCGCGGCUUAUCAGGUUGGUGGUGGGGUAGUGGCUUACCAAGGCUUUGACCCGUAGCAGGGCUGGGAGGGUGAGCGGCCACGUUGGGACUGGAAUGCGACCCAGACUCCUACGGGAGGCAGCGGUGGGGAAUAUUGCACUAUGGGCGGAAGGCUGAUGUGGCAAAGCCGCGUGCGGGAUGACGGCCUUCGCGUAGUAAACCACUUUCGCCUGUGACGAAGCGUGAGUGACGGUAAUGGGUAAAGAAGCACCGGCUAACUACGUG
rnacentral:rRNA from 1 species